rnacentral:rRNA from 1 species
UAGGGAAUCUUCCGCAAUGGACGCAAGUCUGCCGGAGCAACGCCGCGUGAGUGAAGAAGGAUUUCGGUUCGUAAAACUCUGUUGUUAGAGAAGAACAGCGCAUAGAGUAACUGUUAUGCGUGUGACGGUAUCUAACCAGAAAGCCACGGCUAACUACGUGCCAGCAGCCGCGGUAAUACGUAGGUGGCAAGCGUUGUCCGGAUUUAUUGGGCGUAAAGCGAGCGCAGGCGGUCAAUUAAGUCUGAUGUGAAAGCCCCCGGCUCAACCGGGGAGGGUCAUUGGAAACUGGUUGACUUGAGUACAGAAGAGGGGAGUGGAAUUCCAUGUGUAGCGGUGAAAUGCGUAGAUAGAUGGAGGAACACCAGGGGCGAAGGCGGCUCUCUGGUCUGUAACUGACGCUGAGGCUCGAAAGCGUGGGUAGCAAACAGG